rnacentral:lncRNA from 1 species
AAUCCUGAAGGUGGUAGGCAAGUGGAAGAAGUGAUGCUCAGCCCUGAUCUGUUUUCUUUCAGGCCCAUCCAUUGCCAUCAUAUUGCCAGAGAUUGUCCUUCUGUACGUGAUUGUGGUCACCUUCCUGGUGGCCGCCAACGUGACCUUCCAGCCUACAAAGCUCAUCCAGCUCAAAAGCACAACAGCACAGCGCACGAUGGGCUAUGCGGCUCCCGGCGGGGUGCUCUUGGUGGUGCUGACGAGCAGCUUCCACAUAAAGAACAUCCACCAUCGGCACGAGGACGGCUGCACGGCGUUUGUGGACGUGACUGCCCUUGCGGUGAGCACGGCAGCAGUAUCAGCCCUCCCCCUCCUCGCCAUCUUCCUCUGCUGUAAGUGUCCCCUCCUCCGCUUCCCUUGCCACGUAUGCGAUCUAGCACCAAUGUGAACUACACACAACUUGGCUUUCUCUGCUUUAGAGAAGAGCUCACAGCCCCUCUGGUGACCGUUUCCCUUCCCCAUUUGAGCCCCGGAUGCCAUCCCCCAAAAUGCUGUGCCUCGCAGGCGCUUUGCCCAGAGCCCGCGAGCAGACUUGUCUUUUCGCAGAUCACACCACACAGGGGUGGCAGAAUGAACGUGACUCUGGCUGUGCCGACAAGGAAAGGUAGAGCCUUCUUUCGCCUUUUUCCGUAUAAAUUCACACCAUCUUGGUGUGAAAAGAGUGAGAUAUGAAAAUUAUCCUAUGUCUUAAGUCAUAGACCCCAAGAAAGGUGCAGCCCAGCUCUGCCCUCACAGCCCCUGAUUUUACGCAGGAUUUGGAGUAGGAUGCUCCAAUGGGGUCCAUGCUUAAGCACCUGCUCAAAUCUCUCCACAAAUGUGUCACUCGUGGCCUCAACUUGAAGAUUAAACCUUAAUUCCUGCUGGUUUCCUCCACGCCCUUUGUAUUUUGCUGGUGCUGUGGAUGCACUGGGAUAAAGCCCCCAGUGCCCGUCCUGCUCAUCACAGCCUCAGUCAGCAUCUCUGUGCCCCAG